GCUGGUGCCACUUGAACCAAGUCCAGAUGCACUGCCCAAAAUAACAUCCCUCGUCUGGCCAGCAGUGCAGUGGAGACUGAGUUCUGAAGCAGGCCUUUGUGAGCUUCCAAUUGUGGACAAGAUAAGGACCAUUGCCCAGGCUGUCUAUGGAGCCAAAGAUAUCGAACUCUGUCCUGAGGCACAAGUCAAAAUAGAUCGUUACACUCAGCAGGGUUUUGGAAAUUUGCCCAUCUGCAUGGCAAAGACCGAUCUUUCUCUGUCUCACCAACCUGACAAAAAAGGUGUGCCAAGGGACUUCAUCUUACCUAUCAGUGAUGUCCGGGCCAGCAUAGGUGCUGGGUUCAUUUACCCUUUGGUCGGAACGGUGCACCACUGACAUCAUGGCUCGGCUGGACUCUGGAAAGCAGGAAAUUGCUGGAGCAUGUUUGGGCAUCAAUGAUGUCACCCGCUACGAAUGCCGGGUGGGGUUACUGGACUGAGGGCCAUGAAAAAAGAAAGCUGCGGCCCUGCCCCGUGGACUCACUGCCAUUCUGUUCUUUCUCACGUUUCAGUUCAGCUCACUUUGUUUUCCGUCCCCCUCCCUCUACUGUAAAAGUAUGUACUCAUUGUUUCAUUUCCUGCUGGAUCUGAUUCAGGUCAGUGAUGAAGUUCUUUGCGAGCUCAGUGGGGAGGCGUUUCCUCCCUUUCAUACCGGCCCUGCUUAGGGAUGCAUGGUUGGUUAUAUACUUGCUUCACUCGGUUAGGCAUGGAGGAGAAUUCAUUCAGACCUCAUAGGUUUAAAUCAAAUGCAUGACCCUUCACAUUUUCCAGAGAUUUAGACAGUUACAGUGAGACAAUUAAACAUUCACCCCCCAAGCUGCACUUGGAGAUGUGUAAGCAGUAAUGUAGUCAUGCGCUCCCCAUGAUAUGAGAGUGUGCAGAAUGCCACUCCCCACAGCAGGUCCACCAGGACCUCCUCAGGGAGCAUCUUGCCUACAAAAUCACCCAUCCCUUUUCCCCCACUUUCUUCACUUUCCCUACGUUUCCACUCCCACACCCACAAAUAAACAAAGAAACUUUGAGCUUAUUUUACAAAAGUCUUUGAAAUGGCCCUCCUCUCUCCGAUGCUCCUGGGCCCUGGUUUGGCCCCAUCUGUGCAGUCUCUCUGAUGAGUGUGAAAUAAGCCAGGUUUGGCUCAUGCUCUCCCUGUGAGCUUGCUCUCCCCGUGAGCCUGCCCUCUCCAUCUGGCCUCACUUUGUUUGUGUCCCUGGGUCCUUUGUCUCUGAUCCUGGGAUCCUGGUGGUUUCCUCCUCCCCGCCCAGCUUGGGUCCUUUUCCCCAGGGUUCUUCCCUAUCUCUACAUCAGAAUUUCCUGCUUUCUCCCAAAUAUGCAUUUCCCUGGCCCAGGCAUCCAUUGCUUCCUCUCAUCGUGAGGUCCCUGCAGCAGACUGCCAAUGGUGUUGUGGCCAUGCCUUCCUCCACAACCCAGGGAAAGCUACAUGUGUGUCUGUCCCAUAGGGAAGGAGUCAUCCCUGUCUCUUCAGUGUGGCAUGUUCAGGAGGAAGGAAAGUAACCAGCGUCAUUCUCAACUUCCGGAAACUGUUUAUCAUAUUGACAAGAAGAAGAAAGCUUUGCGACUCAUGAGAAUGAUGUUUUCCUCUCUGGUACAUAAGGUUAUGUAGGUCCAAUCCAUUGUGUAGAAGAUCUUUUCUCCCUUAAUGGGAUGUACACUUAUUUUUAGCACAAGUAUAAAACUACUUUAAAUGAAGUCAGCCUCAGCCAGGGAAAUAUGCUGAGUAAUAAUGUUGCCAGGUACUAUACCACUGAGUUGAGUUUGCAAUUCACUGCUAUUAAUCCCUGCAUGUUAGUUCUGAAUUUUUACUCUUUGCAUACGUAGAAAAAAUGGUGUUUCUCUUCAGAGUCAAGGAGGGAAAAAAGAAAAGUUAAAAGACACUUAUAACACUUUUGUGUCCACCCCUAAAAUCAGCAUAUUGAUCUACUAUUUUUCUAGGUAUUGAUGGAAUAUUGACUCAUAUACUUUCAUACAACUG
ensembl:lncRNA novel transcript